UACGUAGGGGGCAAGCGUUGUCCGGAAUCAUUGGGCGUAAAGAGCGUGUAGGCGGCCAGAUAAGUCCGCUGUGAAAUCUCGAGGCUCAACUUCGAGCUGUCGGCGGAAACUGUCUGGCUAGAGUCCGGAAGAGGAGAAUGGAAUCCCUGGUGUAGCGGUGAAAUGCGCAGAUAUCAGGAAGAACACCCGUGGCGAAGGCGGUUCUCUGGGACGGUACUGACGCUGAGACGCGAAAGCGUGGGGAGCGAACAGG
rnacentral:rRNA from 1 species